CAGUCUGGUGACGUAGCGGUGUCGGUGGCUAGCGUUUCUCAGCGUGAGGCAGGACUUGUUCCUCAGUCUUACAGUGACUGACAAGUGGCGCCCAAACAGUGACCUGAGUACAUGGGCUGUUGAGAGGGAACCCGGAAAUAUUUCGCAUACAGACAUAUACAGGGGACACUAAGGAUCCUCGUUGGAUACCUGAGCGCCUCAUGAGAUUCUGUGGAUCCAGACCAGAUGGAUGGUGAAUUCCCUCCCCUGCAAUAUGGAUCCAGACCAGAUGGUGAACUCUCUCCCCCACCACAUGACGAGAAGGCGGCUCGAUGACACUUCCAAUCCUCCUGAGAAACCAGCUCUCCAAGCUCAUCAGUGUUGUCUCUCCUGGGCCACGUGGAUGGCCAACCCUCCAACAUGGGGCCAAUUGAAACGACUGACCCAGAAGGCAGAGGAGAUGUUGAUGCAGCAGCAAGUGACUAAGUCCCCACAAACGUUGUUUGUGGCUAUGUUGGCUAUUAUCUCUUGUCAGGUAGUUUUGGGUAAUACUGAUAAUUAUUGGGCAUAUGUCCCUGAUCCUCCAUUACUUCGCCCCGUAGAAUGAAAUGAUCCCUCAAUUCCUGUUUAUGUUAACGAUACUUCCCUUCUUGGCUAUCCAAGCAGUGAUUUUAUUACCCCUCUCACUGUAACUUGUUUUUCAUUUACUGCCUUUCCUUUUGUGUGCCCCUAUCUGUUUUUCCAUUCCUGCAUUUUGGUAUAACCAACACGAACAAUACCGGCAUGGAUGUCUUUCGGUAGGACCCAGGCCUUCUUAUACAUAUCAGUUGCAGUAUUGGAAUGAAACAUGAUCUCACAGGGAGUGGAUUUUGAAUAUCAUGAGGCUCUCCACUUCUUAUUUUAAGGCUACAGAGGAUCCUCCUAAGGACUUGCCUCCCUGCAUUCAACAAAUAUUGUCCCCCUUUUCUAACCCCUCAGAACCUUUAUGGUCAUAUCCUCUGUGGCAUUGAUGCCAAUAUUCUACACCAGUGUGGCAUCGAAUUCCUCAUACUACUGCAGCUGUUUUCCUCAACCUUUUGCUGAACUUCUUAUUAAUAAGAUUGAACCUCCAGGGGGAUAGGUGGAGGGUGUCCUCUCCACCAAUUUAGGAAAUGUACAAAAUAAUAUCUGGAAGUUGAUGGCUGCUGUGGGGCCUGUUGUCCUUUCACAUCAACAACAUCCUGUUAGGAACUUAACCGCUUUUGUUAUGGCUUGUGUUCCAUCACCCUAUGCUAUUCUUACUGGUUCUCUCUACGUUUUUCAAAAAGAAGGGUUUUAUGACAUACGUUGUGAUAAUUGUAAUUUGACAAAUUGUAUAAGCAUGGGGGAACCAAACCGGGGAUUUCUUCUUGUUCAUUAGCCUCCCUUUGCUAUGCUCCCUGUAAAUGUUACAGGUCCUUGGUAUUCUAAUUCAGGUUUGCAGGUCAUGCAUGAACUCUCCCUUCUUUUACAACGGCCCAAGCGAUUUUGGGGGUUACUUAUAGCUGGAAUUACAGUGCUCAUUGCAGUCAUUGCUUCUGUAGCUGCUUCUGAUACUGCGCUGACUCAAAGUAUUCAUACUGCCACAUUUGUGAAUAAUUUAGCUGCUAAUGUCUCUAAUGCUUUGGGAACUCAAGAAACUAUUGAUAGAAAAUGAGAAAGUCAUGUUAAUGUAUUGGAAGAAGUUGUUCUUAUUCUUGGAGACCAAUUAGCUGCUUUAAAAACUGCCUGUUCUAUGCAUUGUCAUGCAGAAUUUUCUGCAAUCUGUUAAGCCAUAUAACGAUUCGCAGUGGCCUUGGCCUCAGAUUAAGAAUCAUUUAUUGGGAAUUUGGUCUCAUUCCAAUCUAUCCCUUGAUAUUGCUCCCUUACAUGGGGAUAUCACAAAUAUCCAGCAUGCAGCUCCCCUAGAUGUAAAUCCAGUGGAAAUUGCUUGAGACAUAUUUACCCAGAUUACACGUACUUUUGCCCCAAGUUCUCUUAUUAACCUCCUUUAUUCUAUAAUUGUUAUUGGUAUUUUAAUAUUAUUGUGUAUUUGUUGUUUUCCAGUCCUCCUGUGAAUUGGCUUACGAGCAAUUGCAGAACUCCAAGUCGGGCUCUACUACCUCACAUUAAAAAAUAAGGAAGGGGGACAUGUCGGGAACCAGCUGCAAGCUGACACAGUUCUUGCAGCUUAAAGCAUGGCAAAGUCCUGCUUAAUCAUUGACAGGACAUGAAAGAGUUAUUAGAGAAGAUAUGAGUCUUGGCCCGUGAAGUUGCUUGCAGUUUUUCUAACUAUAGUUUGUCCUUGGCAUGCUUUGGUAGUCACAGUCUGUUCUCAUGCAUGUUUAUAUCCUGGUUCGCAGAAUGUUUUGUACUAUAACUUCAACACUAAGGAAAUGCUGUCUGAUGAUUCAGUUUGGUGAUUUUAACAAAAACAUGUUUUGUCUACUGCAAUACAUAAAAAGAGGUUUGAUGAGAAAUAAAGUGUGUGUGUUUAUACACCAC
rnacentral:lncRNA from 1 species